rnacentral:rRNA from 1 species
AUUGAACGCUGGCGGCAGGCCUAACACAUGCAAGUCGAGCGGCGCGGCAGACGGGUGAGUAAUGCCUAGGUAUCUGCCUGUUAGUGAUGGAUAACGUCAGGUAACGGGCACUAUUGCCGCAUACUUUCACAUCAGCCUGGGUGGGAGUGGCUAGUUGGUGGGGUAAAGGCUUACCAAGGCUACGAUCCGUAACUGGUCUGAGAGGAUGAUCAGUCACACUGGGACUGAGACACGGCCCAGACUCCUACGGGAGGCAGCAGUGGGGAAUAUUGGACAAUGGGCGAAAGCCUGAUCCAGCCAUGCCGCGUGUGUGAAGAAGGUCUUCGGAUUGUAAAGCACUUUAAGUUGGGAGGCGUUACCAACAGAAUAAGCACCGGCUAACUUCGUGCCAGCAGCCGCGGUAAUAC